ACGAACGCUGGCGGCGCGCCUAACACAUGCAAGUCGAACGAGCGAGAGAGAGCUUGCUUUCUCGAGCGAGUGGCGAACGGGUGAGUAACGCGUGAGGAGCCUGCCUCAAAGAGGGGGACAACAGUUGGAAACGACUGCUAAUACCGCAUAAGCCCACGACCCGGCCUCGGGUUGGGGGAAAAGGAGCAAUCCGCUUUGAGAUGGCCUCGCGUCCGAUUAGCUAGUUGGGGAGGUAACGGCCCACCAAGGCGACGAUCGGUAGCCGGACUGAGAGGUUGAACGGCCACAUUGGGACCGAGACACGGCCCAGACUCCUACGGGAGGCAGCAGUGGGGAAUAUUGCACAAUGGGGGAAACCCUGAUGCAGCGACGCCGCGUGGAGGAAGAAGGUCUUCGGAUUGUAAACUCCUGUUGUUGAGGAAGAUAAUGACGGUACUCAACAAGGAAGUGACGGCUAACUACGUGCCAGCAGCCGCGGUAA
rnacentral:rRNA from 1 species